GGUCCUUUAUCCGAGAAACAAAACAACCCAGUUUUGCAGAAGAGCUCGAAGCCCCUCCCCGGGCUCCUGUGCAGGAGGUUUUUGCCCAGGCAAGUCCAUGGGUUCCCCAGAAGGGAUGCGAGCCUGGAAGCGCAUCGCCCUCGCCGGCGGGGUGAUCACAGCGGUCCUGGUGGUGACCCUCCUCCUGGUGCUCUGCCUGCCGGCCGCGGCGCAGGGGCUGGCGYGGUGCAGGGGCUGCGUGGGGAACGGCACGCUGGCGGCGGCACGGGGGGCCGACUGGGACCAGGCGAUGGCGCAGGUGGCCGCGCUGCAGGCAGAGCUGGGCAGCGUCAAACGGUCCCUGGAGGAGACGCGCGGGCUCUGGGACAGCUGCAGGCUGCACCUGGACACCUUGCAGAGGAACGUCACGGCCCUGGAGCAGGCGCUGGCGCUGCUGCGGCACCAGGGAUCGGAGCAGGGGGCCAGGACGGCCGCGCUGCAAGAGGAGAACAGGGAGCUCAAGGAGGAGUUGGCGCAGCAAAGGCAGCAGCUGGAGGACGUGCAGAGGGGCAGGAGCAGUCUCCAGUCGCAGAUCUCGAACCUGCUGCAGCAGCUCCAGGCCCUGCAGAGCAGGACCUCGAGUGGCACCCAGCCCCCAGCCUCGAGCCUGGCCGCGCGCCUCAGCCUCCCGGCCCUGGUCCUCACGGGGACGCUCUUCCUUUGAGCCCGAAGCAGCCGGCACGAGGGCCUGGCCGAUCCUCCGUCCCCCGUUGCCCUGAUGUGGGGUGAGGAGGGACCGUCUCCAUCCGGAGGGGCGGCAGCUCAAGGAGCGCCCGGUCCAGGAGCCCCCAUCCCUGCUCARCCCUGCCUCUGGCUCACCUCAUCCCCUGCCGCCUCCAAACCCACCCUGGCCCCAUUCACUGCCAGAGCAUCCCGGGGACACAGCUUGCUUCCAGCUGCAAACCGCUGGCCAGCUGUGCCAUGCCUGGGCCAGGCAGGGGCCUCGGACUCGCCACGGUUUGAUAGUAUUUAACCUAAUAAAAACUUGUGAAAAGCCA
rnacentral:lncRNA from 1 species